rnacentral:rRNA from 1 species
UCGAGCGAAUGUAUGUGUGAGGGUAACCUUAUGCAUACAUGAGCGGCGGACGGGUGAGUAACGCGUGGGCAAUCUGCCCUCUAGCCUGGGAUAACAGUUCGAAAGGACUGCUAACACCGGAUAAUGUUAUUCUGCGGCAUCGUAGAAUAAUUAAAGUUUACACUAGAGGAUGAGCCCGCGUCCCAUUAGCUAGUUGGUGAGGUAACGGCCCACCAAGGCGACGAUGGGUAGCCGACCUGAGAGGGUGAACGGCCACACUGGGACUGAGACACGGCCCAGACUCCUACGGGAGGCAGCAGUAGGGAAUUUUCCGCAAUGGGCGAAAGCCUGACGGAGCAACGCCGCGUGAGGGAUGAAGGUUUUCGGAUCGUAAACCUCUGUCUUUGGGGACGAUAAUGACGGUACCCAAGGAGGAAGCCACGGCUAACUACGUGCCAGCAGCCGCGGUAAUACGUAGGUGGCAAGCGUUGUCCGGAAUUACUGGGCGUAAAGGGCGUGUAGGCGGCCUUUUAAGUCAGACGUGAAAACCCUGGGCUUAACCCAGGAACUGCGUUUGAAACUGGAAGGCUUGAGGACCGGAGAGGGUAGUGGAAUUCCCAGUGUAGCGGUGAAAUGCGUAGAUAUUGGGAGGAACACCAGUGGCGAAGGCGACUGCCUGGACGGCACCUGACGCUGAGGCGCGAAAGCUAGGGGAGCAAACGGGAUUAGAUACCCCGGUAGUCCUAGCCGUAAACGAUGGGUACUAGGUGUGGGAG